GCGACCUCGCGAGAGCAAGCGGACCUCAUAAAGUAUGUCGUAGUCCGGAUUGGAGUCUGCAACUCGACUCCAUGAAGUCGGAAUCGCUAGUAAUCGUAGAUCAGAAUGCUACGGUGAAUACGUUCCCGGGCCUUGUACACACCGCCCGUCACACCAUGGGAGUGGGUUGCAAAAGAAGUAGGUAGCUUAACCUUCGGGAGGGCGCUUACCACUUUGUGAUUCAUGACUGGGGUGAAGUCGUAACAAGGUAACCGUAGGGGAACCUGCGGUUGGAUCACCUCCUUA
rnacentral:rRNA from 1 species